rnacentral:rRNA from 1 species
UACGUAGGGGGCAAGCGUUGUCCGGAAUCAUUGGGCGUAAAGAGCGUGUCGGCGGCCUGAUACGUCGGUUGUGAAAGUCAAGGGCUCAACCCUUGAAUGCCGGCCGAUACUGUCAGGCUAGAGUCCGGAAGAGGCGAGUGGAAUUCCUGGUGUAGCGGUGAAAUGCGCAGAUAUCAGGAGGAACACCGAUGGCGAAGGCAGCUCGCUGGGACGGUACUGACGCUGAGACGCGAAAGCGUGGGGAGCGAACAGG